AAGAGGUAAUAAAUUGCUGUCACUAGAGACUACCAUGGAGGACUAGGAAGAGAUGGGCUUCAAUCAUCACUCCCUCAGGCAGAGAUGAACUCGGCCCACAUGAGAUGAACUCAGAGACGAAGCAUUGACAUCUGGAUUUGGAUGAUGCUUAGGCUUCCGAUUUUAGCUCUUGCCCUUAAUUGAAGGCAUAGAAAGGAUUUGUACAGAGAAAUUUGAAUUGAACCUCUACCUAAAAUACUGGGUAUUUGGAUUUAUUGUCCUGGAUUUGUGCUUUCUCUAGUUAUGAGUGAUAGAAUACUUUGAAAACUGGCAUGUCAGUAAAUCUGAUAAGCAGGUGCCAUCACAUUUUAGUCUCUUUAGAAGGAAAAGUUAAGAAAAGUGACAUCUCUAAAAUCUUUUGUGAUACAACAGCACUUUGUAUAAUUUACCUGGUUUUAACUCCUGUUACUGUUUACUUUCUUGUAGAUUCUGUUUUUAUUGCUGAAAACAAAAUUGCAGUAGGUGAUCCCAGAGCUGCUUAUAUUUCAAGUAAUGAAAUGUAGCUGUUAGUGGAGCUAUGAACACAGAUGAUACUGUUACCAGAUUUUAAACUUGAAAAUGUAAAUUAAAUAUAACACUCUGGCUAAUCUUACAGCCAUGUAUAUUUCUAUAUGCAAAUUUCAAUAUUAAAAAAUCUUCAUGACUAUUGUUUUUGACUAAAUAAAAGCACCAAAAGUUGUAGAACUGGAAAGCGAUCAAAAGGAUUUUUCUUGUACGUGUUUGUAUUUUAAAGAGCUACUUAGAAUAUUCUGCUUAGUAUGUAUAUUGAAUAUAUAAUAUCUUUGUAUUAUUUCAGGGAAGCCGAUUAGAAAGACUUUUCCUUCUAUAGUUAAGUAGUUCCGAGUGUUCACUUGUGUGUUAAAUCUAACUAGGGGAGGCUGAGGUUGUGAAGAAGUGAAUGGAGUAGGAAGGCGUAGCUAAAUGUGAUGUGAACGCUUUCAAGAGGAUUGAUCUGAUGAUUGCUUUUGUGCUACUUUUGACUCGCCCAACCCUGAAAUGAAGGUACUCUUUUCAUAUGUACUUGAAUUUGUCAUGUGGCUUUCCUGUAUGUACUAUUUCAGGCUUAACUGCUGUGCUUUACCUAAGAUUUCUGCUAUAGAUGAAUGUUGUCAUGGGUUGGCUCUAUGGCUAAGCUCUUCCAUGGGCAGCUGUGAUUUGUUAGUAUUAAGAUGUCCUGCAUUUCCUAUGUUCCACAAAGAAGCUUUCCUUCUUACAGCCAGUCUUCCUCAACA